UGAGUAACACGUGGGUAAUCUGCCUUUGAGUCUGGAAUAACAGUUAGAAAUGAUUGCUAAUGCCGGAUUAUAUAUAGGAUGAUACGUCUUCUUAUAUUAAAAGGAGCCUUUAAAGCUUCGCUUAAAGAUGAGCCUGCGGCGUAUUAGCUAGUUGGUAGGGUAAAGGCCUACCAAGGCAACGAUGCGUAGCCGACCUGAGAGGGUGAUCGGCCACACUGGGACUGAGACACGGCCCAGACUCCUACGGGAGACAGCAGUUAGGAAUACUCGUCAAUGGGGGAAACCCUGAACGAGCAAUGCCGCGUGAAGGAUGACGGUCCUAUGGAUUGUAAACUUCUGUUGUUAGGGAAGAACGACCUGUAUAGGAAAUGAUACAGGAGUGACGGUACCUUUCAAGAAAGCUCCGGCUAACUACGUGCCAGCAGCCGCGGUAAUACGUAGGGAGCGAGCGUUAUCCGGAUUUAUUGGGUGUAAAGGGUGCGUAGGCGGUUUAGCAGGUCUAUGGUUUAAGUCCGAAGCUUAACUUCGGUUCGCCAUAGAAACCGUUUUACUUGAGUAUGGUAGAGGCAAGUGGAAUUUCUAGUGUAGCGGUUAAAUGCGUAGAUAUUAGAAGGAACAUCGGUGGCGAAGGCGACUUGCUGGGCCAUUACUGACGCUGAGGCACGAAAGCGUGGGGAGCAAAUAGGAUUAGAUACCCUAGUAGUCCACGCCGUAAACGAUGGAUACUAAGUGUCGGAGUUAUUCGGUGCUGAAGUUAACACAUUAAGUAUCCCACCUGAGUAGUACGGUCGCAAG
rnacentral:rRNA from 1 species